UGAUGAACAAUAUAUAAGAUAUUUGUAUCUUUUACCAUUAACAAAAGUACUAACUGGAUUCUAAAACAUUUGUUCUUAGUGAAUAUCAAAUAAUAGCACCAUAUUAUUGAUUUGACAUAAAUUAAUAAUGUAACUCUUAAUUUUCCAUGUGAGUUAACUAAAUUCAAAAUUGUAUUCAAUGUAAUUGAUUUAAACCUCAUAUUAUACAAUAUUAACUGAUUUUUGAAAACUUAAAGGUCAUAGUACUCAUUACAUUGAAUUGAAAAACGCUAAUCAAAAUGUUCAUGUGAUGUACAAGAUUUUCAUAUUUUUACAACAAUGAGCAACGUCAAAAAUUAUAUUAAAUCAGAUUUGAGGACUGGUUAAUAUAAAACAAGGUCUAAUCUUAUAAAAAGUAGAUUUUCAUCUGAUGGCAAUUUUUAUAAAUUAAGUUAUUUUAUUUUUAAUUUAACAUUUAACUGAAAAAAAUAUAAUGUCAUUAUUAUUUUUUUUUUUUUUUAGGAUUUAAUAAACUAUCUGUUGUCAUCAAUAAUUCUACUUGGCUUAUUAUAGAUGAAAAACUAGAACUUGCAUCAAACAUCAAAAAUGAAUAGGUUUCCAGAUUGAAUUGUUGAAUGCACAUAUUUUUAAUGU